rnacentral:rRNA from 1 species
UACGGGGGGGGCAAGCGUCGCUCGGAAUUACUGGGCGUAAAGGGCUCGUAGGCGGCCAACUAAGUCGGAUGUGAAAUCCCCAGGCUCAACUUGGGAACUGCAUCCGAUACUGGAUGGCUUGAAUUCGGGAGAGGGAUGCAGAAUUCCAGGUGUAGCGGUGAAAUGCGUAGAUAUCUGGAGGAAUACCGGUGGCGAAGGCGGCAUCCUGGACCGACAUUGACGCUGAGGAGCGAAAGCUAGGGGAGCAAACGGG